CGCCAGUUGAGUUCUCCAUCUUUUGCCUUCCGUUUAUUAUCUUUGUUGAUUUGUUGGCGACUCUGCUUCGCGAUUUCUUUUCUCCACGGAGCAUCUUGAUCGGGGCAUGUGACGAUGAUGAUCUUUUCAACUUACCAUCAAACUCUGAAUCGGUACUAUGUCGAUUACACCAAGUUUUCGUGAGUCUAAUGCUAUCUCAUGUAUUCGUUUUGUUGGCAGCUUUGCUUCGCUAUUUCUCUUCUCCACUGAGCAUCUUGAUUGGGGCGUUAGACGAUGAUGAUCUUUUCAACUUACCAUCAAACUCUGAAUCGAUACUAUGUCGAUUACACCAAGUUUUCGUGAGUCUAAUGCGUUCUCAUGUAUUCGUUUUGUUGUCCUUUUUUUGGUUUCUAGAUUCGAUUUACAUCCUUUGAAGGCAAUAAAUUAGAGUCUCUGGUGCGCUUCUUAAUAGCGUAAUUCAGCGCUGUACGUUGCCAAUAUGAAUCUUUGGGCUAAGAUUCUGGCACAGACCAUUCUUCGAGAUGGUUUGUGCAUUCAACUUGUCCAUACAUAUCUUCUAUGUUUUCGAGAUUUGUUUGUGUCUUUUUUUGGUGAUUUUGUUCAUAGUCUUUUGAUAUUUUUAUCUGGUAUUUCAGACUUCUUUACCCAAAUCAGGAAAAAUAACAGGACAAUUUACUGAAAUGAGAUGCUUAUAUAUGCCAAUUUAAGUGCAAUGUAAGCAUACUUGGUUAAACAAUUCCAAUGCAAUGAGAUUGGAUUAAUUUCAAGGGAUGAUAGUUUCACAGUAAAACCCCAACCCUGUCUAUACUUUCACUUCGAUCUGAUAGAUCCAUCGCACGAAAUGGGUGGUAUGAGAUUUGUGUUUGGCUAAGCUAGCCCUUUGCAGAGAAACCUGAUGCAGUGAUCUAUGUGAAUGUUUGUUUUUGCAAGAUCAGCUUCUUGUCUGGAUGUUGUAACUUGCCAUUCCAGCCAAUCGGCAAAUCGUCCUGCCAUCUUGCUAGAUUGAAAACACAGUCGGCUUUCAACUCACCUGGAUCUGAUUACUCAAUGAUUUUCCGGGCCCUUUCCGUCGGCAUAUGACCUAAUAGUUUUUAUCUUGUUAUGAUGCGAUGAUGAUCCAUAUAGGUUUUUGGCAGUGGUGGCUACUGUCACCGUGAGCCUUCAAACCAAAAACGACUUCUCUUUCCACUGAGCAUAACAUUGUUCCAACCAAUUCCGUCUUUUAUAGGUUUCUCAUUUCUGCAAUGCCAGCAUCUUGUCUCGGUGAAGAGCUCUAGACCAGGAAGUGCCGUAUGACACUGUAAACAGCAGCUGCUUCUAUGUUUCUGCAAGUGUCCAUCCCUGUAUCAUAACCUUUGUGGUUUGCUCUGGGAUGGAAAUACCCAUUUGCACCAGCUUGAUUCAGCUGUGUGCGUGAUUUUAAACGGGUCUCUGAGAGAUUUCUGAAAUGCUUUAUAGUUUAUUUUCUUUGGCCCGAUGCCACGUCUCCAGUAGCCACAAGCCUUGAUCGGAGAUGCUACAUUGUGCCAACAGUGAGUUUUUGGACGUCUCACAUUUGAUAGGAACCUGUGGCUGUGAUUCUGUCGGUGCACAGAGCCGUUUUUUGUGACUACACUUUAAUUGGCAUACUUAAAUCGUGACACCUCGGUAUUUGUUGUAGGUUUAUUUCAUUGAAAAUAGGUGAAAUGGAUGGCUGUGAUGAUAGAACUAAGGCUUGUUUCUCAAAACAUUCGCAGAUGCCGCCUAAGAGCUUUCGCCCUGCCAGGCUUGAGAGCUUAUGCUGCUAAUUCCUUCCUUGGAUGUCUGAGCCAUGCUUAUUUCCUCACCUUUUAGUUAACCAAUCGUUGCAAAAAAAACCAAUGUGCUUAGACUGUUUUUGAUGCAAGUAGACUUGCUGAAGAUUCAUCAGAGCUGGAUGUGAUCAUGCUGUUGAGAUGAACAGGGAGGCAACCUUUCAUUGGAAAACGAAACCAGCAUGAGUACAAACAGCCUAAAUCUGUCUAAGGAUAUUUAAGACUGAAAAAGUAAAAGCGCAGGCAAGCAAAAGGAUCACAGAGCAAUAGUUCAUCCCUAGAUGCAUGGGUGCAAGACCUCCUAGAAUAGUUGGCUUGUGAACUCCAGCUUGAAGACGCAUCGUCAGAGGAAUUGAAAAUCAGACUGAUGCUUGAAGAUGGAAUCACCAGAGAGGAUUCCACUACAAGUCCGCCACAAUCCAGGUGCAGAAAUAGCUAAAGGCAAUGCAAGCCUGAUCCUCUCAAGAACGAGGCUAGAAGGGGAAACUGACCGACCAUGGGGCACCACGGGCGAGUAGAAGGCGACCCAACAGCCUCAUCUUGCGAAGGAUUAUGCAGGUCCAGGCACCUUUGGCACGCUUUGUCCGGGCGAGUCAGCCACCGGCGCCGACAGUUCCUAUAAAGCAGGGAUUAACCCAUAAUUAUUUGUAACACUCCUAAUCUUGGCUUAUUUUAUGAGCAUCAUCUUCAUAGAAACUUCUCCAAAAACGUGGGAAAGAUAUGAUAAGAAAGUUGUUUGAUA